CCGAUUGGGAUUAAGAAUGUUAGUCGUGCGCUUCCUAGCCUGAUGGAGGCCGGCGCACAGCUCAGUAUCACGUGGCUAACCUAACCUUAGGACGGGGGCACCCCCGGGAAACUGGGGCUAAUUUCCGAUAGGUGAAGAUUCCUGGAAUGGAUUUUUGCUUAAAGGGCACUUGGAUCAUGCUUCCAGGUGUUGCCUAAGGAUGGGGCCGCGGCCGAUCAGGUUGUUGGUGAGGUAAUGGCUCACCAAACCUAUAACCGGUACGGGCCGUGGGAGCGGAAGCCCGGAGAUGGGCACUGAGACAAGGGCCCAGGCCCUACGGGGCGCAGCAGGCGCGAAAACUCCGCAAUGCGCGAAAGCGCGACGGGGCUACCCCGAGUGUUGUCCGCUGAGGAUGACUUUUCUCUGGUUUAAUAAUCCAGGGGAAUAAGAGGAGGGCAAGUCUGGUGUCAGCCGCCGCGGUAAUACCAGCCCCUCGAGUGGUGGGGGUGUUUAUUGGGCUUAAAGCGUCCGUAGCCGGUUCGGUAAGUCUCCUGUUAAAUCUAACGAUCCAAUCGUUGGUCUGCGGGAGAUACUGCCGGGCUAGGGGACGGGAGAGGCUGACGGUAUUCCCGGGGUAGGGGUGAAAUCCUAUAAUGCCGGGAGGACCACCAGUGGCGAAGGCGGUCAGCUAGAACGCGCUCGACGGUGAGGGACGAAAGCUGGGGGAGCGAUCCGGAUUAGAUACCCGGGUAGUCCCAGCUGUAAACGAUGCAGGCUGGGUGUUGGCAUAACUACGGGUUAUGCCAGUGCCGCAGGGAAACUGUUUAGCCUGCCGCCUGGGGAGUACGGUCGCAAGACUGAACUUAAG
rnacentral:rRNA from 1 species